rnacentral:tRNA from 1 species
GAGAGCAUAGCUCAGAGGGAGAGUGCAUGCUUAGCAUGCACAAGGUCCUGGGUUCGAUCCCCAGUACUGUUA